ACUAUCGUGGUACAACUGGUAGUGCACCCGAAUCGUUUCGGGAGAUUGUGGGUUCAAAUCCCACCGGUAGCC
rfam:Aedes aegypti strain Liverpool supercont1.298 genomic scaffold, whole genome shotgun sequence.